rnacentral:rRNA from 1 species
UACGGGGGGAGCAAGCGUUGUUCGGAUUUACUGGGCGUAAAGGGCGCGUAGGCGGUCAGCACAAGUCAGUUGUGAAAUCUCCGAGCUUAACUCGGAAAGGUCAACUGAUACUGUGCGACUAGAGUGCGGAAGGGGCAACUGGAAUUCUUGGUGUAGCGGUGAAAUGCGUAGAUAUCGAGAGGAACACCUGAGGUGAAGACGGGUUGCUGGGCCGACACUGACGCUGACAGCGCGAAAGCCAGGGGAGCAAACGGA